CUUGAGACUUCCGGGUUCUAUUCAGGAACCUGUACCCAUCUUUAAAGCUGUAGGCAUUAAACUAGGGGCUUGGAGUUUACAGGAUUGCCAUUUUUGGGUGUGUGAGGCAGGUGGCUUGUGGGUUUGAGGUCUUAUAAUCACCAUUACUGCGGCCCUUAUCGAAGCUGCAGCUGCUUCUACAUAGCUGCUGUGGUCAAAAAGGAGGCCCAGAGAAACAGUUUUCCUUGACGGUCGCGGUUCUGUUUGCUGCUAACUGAUCUGCAACAUUUUGGGAAAAGACAUCCCCACCGUGAGAUUUCUCAGGUUAUCUAGAGAGUCUUAUCAAUAUCAGCAUAUAUACUAAGUUGUGCCACAGGACCUUACGCCUAGCAUGCAGGAAGUAAAGGCCAGCCUGGUCUACAGAGUGAGUUUCAGGCCAGAUCUGGCUACAAAGAAAGACAUCGCCACUUGUAUGCCACAAGCCAGAAUAUCUUGAAUGUGCAGUUAGCUGAGACUUUUGGAAGUAGUUUGCUGAGCUUUCUUCAAACAUCUGUUGAUGGGGACUCCAUGAAGAUGGUGGUAAGAGGGAAGACCAGAAGAUGCGACCGUGGUGACAGGCAACAGUAGGGUCUGGUUACACUCAAUGUUCUUGGAAAUGUCUGAGAAGCCGGCCUGCCACUGCUCAAAUAAACUAAGGGCCAUUAACCAGUCAAGUGGCCAUCAUUCAUGAUGUGGUCUACAGUUGGUUCGACAAGUCAACAAGAGCACUGGACUGUCCUGGAAGCAAGCAGAAGUCUGACUGAUACUCAGUCAGGCCGCCUUUAAUACCAGCACUUGAAGGGCCAGCCUGGAACACAAGGAGAAACCCUGAAAAAUAAAGUAAAAUGCUUUGACUUACUAUGUAAUUGGGUCAAUAAAGACUGGAAAUCCUGGUUAUUGGA